GACGUAGGGUGCGAGCGUUGUCCGGAUUUAUUGGGCGUAAAGAGCUCGUAGGCGGCUCGUCGCGUCGACCGUGAAAACCCGCGGCUUAACUGCGGGCUUGCGGUUGAUACGGGCGGGCUAGAGUUCGGUAGGGGAGACUGGAAUUCCUGGUGUAGCGGUGAAAUGCGCAGAUAUCAGGAGGAACACCGGUGGCGAAGGCGGGUCUCUGGGCCGAUACUGACACUGAGAGACGAAAGCUAGGGGAGCAAAUGGG
rnacentral:rRNA from 1 species